CCUACGGGAGACAGCAGUGAGGAAUAUUGGUCAAUGGUCGGGAGACUGCACCAGCCAAGCCGCGUGAGGGAUGCAGGUACAGAGUCUCGUAAACCUCUUUUGUCAGGGAACAAAGGCGGGGACGUGUCCCCGGAUGAGUGUACCUGUAGCAAAAGCAUCGGCUAACUCCGUGCCAGCCCCCGGGGUAAUCCGGGGGAUGCGAGCGUUAUCCGGGUUUAGUGGGUUUAAGGGGUUGGCGGGGGGUCGUUUAAGUCAACGGGAAAAACCCGGGGCUCAACCCCGCACCGCCGUUGAAACUGGCAGGCUCGAGUGGGAGAGAAGUAUGCGGAAUGCGCGGUGUAGCGGUGAAAUGCAUAGAUAUCGCGCAGAACUCCGAUUGCGAAGGCAGCAUGCCGGCUCCACACUGACGCUGAGGCACGAAAGCGUGGGUAUCGAACAGGAUUAGAUACCCUGGUAGUC
rnacentral:rRNA from 1 species